GACGUAGGGGACGAGCGUUGUCCGGAUUCAUUGGGCGUAAAGGGUGCGUAGGCGGCGCGGUAAGUCGGGUGUGAAAUCUCGGAGCUUAACUCCGAAACUGCAUUCGAUACUGCCGUGCUUGAGGACUGGAGAGGAGACUGGAAUUUACGGUGUAGCGGUGAAAUGCGUAGAUAUCGUAAGGAAGACCAGUGGCGAAGGCGGGUCUCUGGACAGUUCCUGACGCUGAGGCACGAAGGCCAGGGGAGCAAACGGG
rnacentral:rRNA from 1 species